rnacentral:rRNA from 1 species
ACUUAAGCAUAUCAAUAAGCGGAGGAAAAGAAACUAACAAGGAUUCCCCUAGUAACUGCGAGUGAAGCGGGAAAAGCUCAAAUUUAAAAUCUGGCAGUCUUUGAUUGUCCGAGUUGUAAUCUAGAGAAGCAUUAUCCGCGCUGGACCGUGUACAAGUCUCCUGGAAUGGAGCGUCAUAGAGGGUGAGAAUCCCGUCUUUGACACGGACUGCCAGGGCUUUGUGAUGUGCUCUCAAAGAGUCGAGUUGUUUGGGAAUGCAGCUCAAAAUGGGUGGUAAAUUCCAUCUAAAGCUAAAUAUUGGCGAGAGACCGAUAGCGAACAAGUACCGUGAGGGAAAGAUGAAAAGAACUUUGGAAAGAGAGUUAAACAGUACGUGAAAUUGCUGAAAGGGAAACGCUUGAAGUCAGUCGCGUUGGCCGGGAAUCAACCUUGCUUUUGCUGGGCGUACUUCCUGGUUAACGGGUCAGCAUCAAUUUUGACCGUUGGAUAAAGUUGUUGGGAAUGUGGCAUCUUCGGAUGUGUUAUAGCCCAGUUUCGUAUACAACGGUUGGGAUUGAGGAACUCAGCACGCCGCAAGGCCGGGUUUUUAACCACGUUCGUGCUUAGGAUGCUGGCAUAAUGGCUUUAAUCGACCCGUCUUGAAACACGGACCAAGGAGUCUAACAUGCCUGCGAGUGUUUGGGUGGAAAACCCGAGCGCGUAAUGAAAGUGAAAGUUGAGAUCCCUGUCGUGGGGAGCAUCGACGCCCGGACUUGAACUUUUGUGACGGAUCCGCGGUAGAGCAUGUAUGUUGGGACCCGAAAGAUGGUGAACUAUGCCUGAAUAGGGUGAAGCCAGAGGAAACUCUGGUGGAGGCUCGUAGCGAUUCUGACGUGCAAAUCGAUCGUCAAAUUUGGGUAUAGGGGCGAAAGACUAA